rnacentral:tRNA from 1 species
GGGGCUGAAGCUCAGUGGCAGAGUGCUUGCCUAGCAUGCAUGAGGCACUGGUUUGAUCCUCAGCACCA